UGGAUAAGACAUGCAAGUCGAGCGCUGGUUACAGGGUAGCAAUAUUCUGUAAUGGAGCGGCGCAAGGGUGCGUAACACGUGGGUAAUCUGCCAUGAAGUCUGGAAUAACCUGCUGAAAGGCGAGCUAAUACCGGAUGUGAACAUCGGGCGGCAUCGUUUGAUGUUCAAAGUUGGGGACCGUAAGGCCUGACGCUUCAUGAUGAGCCCGCGGCCUAUCAGCUAGUUGGUGAGGUAACGGCUCACCAAGGCUAAGACGGGUAGCUGGUCUGAGAGGACGACCAGCCACACUGGAACUGAGACACGGUCCAGACACCUACGGGUGGCAGCAGUCGAGAAUUUUUCACAAUGGGCGAAAGCCUGAUGGAGCGACGCCGCGUGGGGGAUGAAUGGCCUUCGGCCCGUAAACCCCUGUCAUUCGCGAACAAUGCCUGCGGCCUAAUACGUCGCAGGUUGAUAGUAGCGGAAGAGGAAGGGACGGCUAACUCUGUGCCAGCAGCAGC
rnacentral:rRNA from 1 species